CUUAAUUCAACAUGUUACCAAGACUACUGUUCCUCUUGUCUUAAUUCAACAUGUUACCAAGACUACUGUUCCCUUGUCUUAAUGGACUGUCUCCACCCUGUAGCUCUGGAUGGGUCAUGGUACUGACUGGGGUAAAGGACUGUCUCCACCCUGUAGCUCUGGAUGGGUCAUGGUACUGACUGGGGUAAAGGACUGUCUCCACCCUGUAGCUCUGGAUGGGUCAUGGUACUGACCGGGGUAAAGAGGGACCGAGGGUGUGAUUGUGUCGGCAAGGCAGGCACCGGAAUUUAUUUAACGAGGCAAGUCAGUUAAGAAUAAAUUCUUAUUUACAAUGACGACCAAACCCGGACGACGCUGGGCCAAUUGUGCCCCGCUCUAUGGGACUCCCAAUCACGGCCGGUUGUGAUACAGCCUGGAUUCGAACCAGGGUUUCCGUAGUGACGCCUCUAGCACUGAGAUCCUGUGCCUUAGACUGCCGUGCCACUCGGGAGCCCAAUGAAGGGAGGGAAGGAAGGAGGGAUGGAAGGAGUGAGGGGCCAAGGGAGUGAAGGGCUGGAGACGAGUGGUUACCACCCACAGGGAUGGAGGGAGUGAGGAGUGAGGGCAGGAGACGAGUGGUUACCACCCACAGGGAUGGAGGGAGUGAGGGAGUGAAGGGCUGGAGCAGAGUGGUUACCACCCACAGGGAUGGAGGGAGUGAGGGAGUGAAGGGCAGCAGACGAGUGGUUACCACCCACAGGGAUGGAGGGAGUGAGGGAGUGAAGGGCAGCAGACGAGUGGUUACCACCCACAGGGAUGGAGGGAGUGAGGGCAAGGGACAGAGUGGUUACCACCCACAGGGAUGGAGGGAGUGAGGGAGUGAAGGGCAGGAGACGAGUGGUUACCACUCACAGGGAUGGAGGGAGUGAGGGAGUGAAGGGCUGGAGCAGAGUGGUUACCACCCACAGGGAUGGAGGGAGUGAGGGAGUGAAGGGCUGGAGACGAGGGAUGGAGGGAGGAGGAGUGGUAUUUAAGAGGCAGACGGCAGAGAGGGAGAGAUGAAGAUGAAUGGUGAGGCCAGGCGGAGGGAGUGAGGGAUGAGUGGCUAAUUAGCCAUGUUGGCGCUGGGGGGGACGGCAGAGGAGAGGAGGCAGAGAUGAAAGCAGAGGGGGCCAGCCUACAGUGACACAGCAGAGCCUGGAGCUUGCCCGGUCUGUGAGGCUGUGUCCCAGGCAGAGAGAGGAGGACAGGGGGGUAGAGGACAGUCACCCUGCCCCAGGACCUCCACACCACCAGGGGAGAUUCAGGGACCAAGGGCCCGGCACAUCACGCACGCUCUCUCUCUGCCUCCCCCCUCGUUCGCUCUCUCCCUCCUUCUCUUUCUGUGCGUCUCUGGCUUCCUCUCUCUCUCUCUCUAUGACAUUUCCGUCCCAGAAUGCACUGUGUCCUUCAUUUCUUCUUGCUGUAGGACAUGAUGUGAGAGGGAUGGUUAAGUAUGAGGUGAAGAGUGGUUGGGCAACGCUGUGGCACUUCACCCUGUGAUGGAUCACACCAGGCCACUAAAUCAUUCUCUUCCUCUCUUUCUCCCACCCUUGAACUCUCCCUCUCUUUCUUCCCCUCUCUCCCUUCCACCCUGGCUCUCCUCCCCC
rnacentral:lncRNA from 1 species